AUACUUACCUGGCACAGGGUUACCGUGAUCAUCAAGGCGGUUUCCCCAGGGCGAGGCUCGGCCAUUGCACAUUCCGGUCGGGUUGACCCCUGCGAAUAUCCCUCAUGUGGAUAUCUCGUGUGUGUUAUUUUUGGAAGCCGGGACGUGCGUACGCGCACAUCCCGA
rnacentral:snRNA from 1 species